UGACUAUCUUUGUUAUUAAUCUCAAUCUUCUCUGAAUUCCUUAUUUAUUAUAUUCACUUUUAGUAAUAAUAUCUCUUAAUGUAUGAACAGUAAUAUUAAAUUUAAGCUCUUGAAAAAUAUCAACAUACAAAGCAAAGGGAUUUUACUGAAUAUCUGAGAGGAUCUUGAAAUGCUCGAAGUGGGCUUUAGUGGUGGAAUCACCACUGAUCAACAACUGAUUUAGAGCUUAAUUAUCCACGAUGUGAUUAUCCAUAGAAGAGAACGGGUUCCAUGGAACGCGAGAUUGAAAAACACAACGGACUUCUACCGAGGUAAUAUGUAGGAAAGCUGGGGAAUAUGUUAGACAAGCAAACAGGACCGUAACAGGAAAAAUAUCCAGCAUCCCCGAUUGUAUGCGGCCUCGGAAGGCGUACCAGUAUAGGGUGGUUCGAUUUAUGCUUUACGUGCGUUAUUGAGAGCUUUGUUCGACGAUGCAGCACCACAGACAGAUAUCGGAGUCACUUUAUCCGGAUGGGGAGAGCCUAAUGGCUUAUGAAGAGGAGCGAGAAGAUAAAAAUUCAAAAGCCAUUAUCUGUUUCUAGCCUAGUUAGAAGUUAUGACAAAUAUGGUAGGAAUAAUAGCCUCUGAAGAGGAGAGUUUGGGG
rnacentral:sRNA from 2 species